UACGUAGGGUGCGAGCGUUAAUCGGAAUUACUGGGCGUAAAGCGUGCGCAGGCGGUUUUGUAAGCCAGAUGUGAAAUCCCCGGGCUUAACCUGGGAAUGGCAUUUGGGACUGCAAGGCUUGAGUGCGGCAGAGGAGACUGGGAAUUCCUGGUGUAGCAGUGAAAUGCGUAGAUAUCAGGAGGAACACCGAUGGCGAAGGCAGGUCUCUGGGCUGACACUGACGCUCAUGCACGAAAGCGUA
rnacentral:rRNA from 1 species